UACGUAGGGUGCGAGCGUUAAUCGGAAUUACUGGGCGUAAAGCGUGCGCAGGCGGUGAUGUAAGACCGAUGUGAAAUCCCCGGGCUUAACCUGGGAACUGCAUUUGUGACUGCAAGGCUGGAGUGCGGCAGAGGGGGAUGGAAUUCCGCGUGUAGCAGUGAAAUGCGUAGAUAUGCGGAGGAACACCGAUGGCGAAGGCAAUCCCCUGGGCCUGCACUGACGCUCAUGCACGAAAGCGUGGGGAGCAAACAGG
rnacentral:rRNA from 1 species